GGGGCCAGCUAGCAGGCGUCGUGGCGGGGCCGCGCUUUUGGGCCGCGAGCUUGAGGUCCCGCUUCUCGACGGAUUCCUUCUGGCUCCGCGAAGGAACUUGCGUCCCUUCUCUAAGUCUUCGGAUAAAACCAAGACCUAGGCCUACAGAUGUAUGGGAGCAGGGCCAGGGAGAGAGAGACUUCGUUUUUCCCAUUCAUUCAUGCAUCCGACCAACACUGACUGAGCCUGCGUCGGGCGCGGUGCCUGGCUGGCGGUCCCAGGGUCACUAAGACGCAACCCGGCGCUGGAGGUGCUUGCGUCGAGCAGGGCCGGCACAGGAUUGCCAGUCGUGGCUGUCCUGUGCGGUGGAGCCACAGGGCUGUCGCGUCGUCCCUGUGCGUGGGUGGCCCAGUGUGUUGGAUAUGACCUGAGAGAUGACAGAUGUGAGAUGACACGACAGGGAGAUCUGAGGAGGUCCCCAGAGAACUGGGAACUGCGUGUCACCAGUCUAGAGAUUCGGAGACAGUUGGAUCUAUGGACCCAUGUCUUCCUUUUUCUUGUCGAACUCCCUUCUUUCACAGGAGCACACCAUUUUUAGUGGUUUCUUAAGAUGAGUACACUAGCUAAAAAGUUUAUGAGCCCUCAAAUACCUGAGUAUUUAUUCAACCCUCAAAUUUAAAUUCUGGCUUGUAUGGAAUUCUAGAUUGAAAAGAAUUUCUCCCCAGCAUUUUGAAGGCAGGCUUCAUUGUCUUCAGUUUUUCAGUGUGGUGAGAAGUGAUGCGUCAUUUUUUUCUCUCUGAAAGAUUUUAGGAUCUUCUCUUUAAAGUUCAGAAAUUUCAUGACGAUGGUACCUUGAAUUUAAGGAAAUUUCCCAGAACGAAGGAGCUUGAUGUUCCAAGUUGAAAGGGCCCACUUAAUGCCUGGCACUUUGGUGAAUGGGAAAAUGCCCGGACCAAGUCACCCCUAACCUACUAACAGGGUUUUCAGCAAUGGACAUGUUUCAAGACCUCACAGACGAGACUGGAGGCAGGCAAUUUCAGGGCUGGAACAGGGACUCUGAUCUCAUGAGGAAUCUUUGCAUCCUGUAUCAGGAUCUCUGACCCAGUCCUUCUCCAAUACAAAGGAAAGACGAUCAAGAGCGUGAAGGCCAGCUAGCGCAGAUGGGCGGGCCGCAGGUGGCUAGAGCAACCGGUGUACUCUCGGGGGAUGCAGCGAGAUGCGCCAUCUCUGACGGCAAACCGACCGACGAUGCCUACACGGGGCACCUGGUUCCUGUCCAGUAUGGCUAUAGAGUGUGCCCAAGAACCUCGGAGGCAAGAGAAACACGGUCAGUAUUCCUGAUCAUUUCCACUGCAGCAAGCGCUGCACUCCAGAGAUGGUUACCAUCCAGGAGUUCUGAAACGUAUGCAGUGUGCACAAAAGCCAGGGGUUUAGUUCAGACUCCUCUCCCCAUCUCCUGUGGCCACCCCCCUCAUCCAUUGGUUAAAGCUGAUUGUGUCCCGACUUCAGUGCCGGGGCAUUAUCGGGGCGGCUGCUGGAGGCCUGACGACUCAGACAGACUGCUGACCCUUCGGGGAGGACGUAGGGGCUGGGGCUGUGCUGGGGGUGGUUGGGGGUAGCCCAGGGUCCCUGGCUGUUGUGAGUAGGUGGAGAGAAGUAGCGAGUCCUGCUGCUCACUGUGCAAAGAGGUUGGUGCCUGUACCUAGAAAAAAAAGAACAAAGGGCUUCAGAGGUGGUUCUGAUGUCCGCUCCUCAACUGUCUUACAAGGCAGUGCGGGGCAUGCUGCAGGUUGAGUUAGACUACAGGGCUGUCUUUCUUGGGGGGUCAUGUGGGGAGAGGUGGCUCUGGCAAGACCUGGGGGUGUGGUGGGGAUGGGGACUAAGGGAACCUUAGGGUGAAUUCUGAAGCUAAGUUCUCCGCCAAUAGUGGGGGCACCUUCUGGCCCAAUCGACUGAGGCCUGUGGCUAUGGCUAUGGGGAAUGGUUUCGUAAACACGUGCACAUGAUCUACAUGUAGCCACAAUGUUUUUGGAUGAUGGAACCUGAGGCCACAUGCAGGUAGUUGACAGGGCAGAAUCCAAACACACAUACAGUUUGUACACUUUUCACUGCUGGUCCCUGAUCCCGUAGCUACCUCCAGAUUCACCAGCACCUACUAGGAGCAUCUUGAUUGGAAGUUUAGAAGCUUUGACUGACCAAAGCCUGACUUUGGAAACUUCAGUCUUAUCACCCACUAUUCCCUUCCAUGAAAUCUCCUCCUGCAAGUAACCCAGCACCCCCCUGCUCUCAAAGCUGCCCAGGCACAGCUGCCCUGAACUUUUGCUCAGGCUGUCUGGCUGGAACACUGUCCCUUUAUCUUCACCCUCACCCACAUUUCGGGCAUUUCCUGGACAUCAGACUCUGCAGUGGGUGCCUUCUGAGCCCUCCCUCUCCUCAAGUCCCUUCCUCCACAAAGGCUUCCCCACCACAGCACUCCCACUGUUCCCAAAUCCGAGCCUGACUGCAUUCUGUGCUAACCCACCUCUCUGCACCCCACCCCAAGCCCCUAAGGGCAGUGAGUGGGCCGAAGCGCUCUCUGUAUUCAUAGCCUGCAUCUUGUCUGCAACAGGUGCAUGCAAACUUGUCUGUUGCUCAUUUCCCAUCCAAAAUCACUUCUGGGUCUCGAGAACUGACAAGAUCUGCAAAGCCAAAGUCUGAGUUGACUCCCACUAUGUGUGGGGUCAGGGAGAUCUGAAAAUUAUAGCACAGAUGGCUUAGCGGCACUGGAAUUAAAUUACGUUCUAGAACUUCAAGGACAGCUAUCUUCAUCACUAUCUACAGUACUCAAGAGGUCUCAGCUACUGCUCAUUCUCCAUGGCUUUGCAGGUGCAGGUGGGGCUGCAGGCCAGGGAGGAAGCCCCCCCAGGACAGGGAAGGGCUGGGGUGAAGAGGGGCACCCUGCACAUGGGUGAGGGAAGGCCAGGCCCUUCUGCAGCUUGGCAGACGCAGACGUGUGGCUCCCACGUGAACCUGCGGACCAGUGGCUCUCACCCUCCCUGCUUUUGACAUACUUGGCACUUGCUUGAAGUAAUUUUUGCCUUCGAAGUAGUGACCACAUGUAAAUGAGCUCCAAAUUUUCCUGGCAAGCCCAAUUUCACACAUCACUGUAUUUAUGAAGGCAGGUUAAUGGAUCUUUAACUAAAUGUGAUUUAACUUUAUGUUUAUAUAGGACUUUAUAAACACACUGAAAAGUCCAACAUAGUCAUCAAUGUUUUUCGACUUUUGCUCUAAAAACUGUGAACAUAUCAAGAUGCAAAUCCUUGAGUAGAAACUACUUUUUUAAAAAAGAACCUUUUUAGCACAUAACCACAUAAGGCAUAAUAGCCGACUCGUAAUUUCAUGUACUCUGUAGACAUAGACUUCAUAAACUUUAAGCAUGAAAAACAAUCAAAUAACAAUCUUUCUGGGGCUUACUUCUAUACUAGGGAUAGAACAACCUUGAAAGCAAGGGAAUAAAAUAUCUCUGAGACUUCGGGUGUGGAGCGUGGCCCGGCUCCCAGGCCUGCACGGGGGCCCCCUGGGCCGUGGCACCCACCUGCAGGUAGUGCUGCGGUGGCUGCUGCCGGGCCUGUGCAGGCUGCAGGGGCGAUGGUUGGGAGGCAGGGAAGCUGGGGUGGAGCACCGCCUGCCCCAUCAGCAGGACGGGCAUCGGGGCGCUGCUGCUGUUGGCGGGGUGUGCGUCUGGAUUUUGAAACACGGUCUGGCUCUGGGCGUACCUGUUUCACGUGGGAAGGAGAAAACAGGUCCUUUAAGAAAGCAGUAUUGAUACGACACCAAAAGCACGAGCAACAAAGAAAAAACAAAUAAGUUGGACUUCAUAAGAAACUUUUGGCCAGGCGCGGUGGCUCAUGCCUGUAAUCCCAGCACUUUGGGAGGCCGAGGCAGGCGGAUCACAAGGUCAGGAGAUCGAGAUCAGCCUGGCCAAUAUGGUGAAACCCCCGUCUCUACUAAAAAUAUAAAUAAAAAUUAGCCAGGUGUCAUGUUGGGCACCUGUAGUCCCAGCUACUUGGGAGGCUGAGGCAGGAGAAUAGCUUGAACCCGGGAGGUGGAGACUGUAGUGAGCCGAGAUCACACCACUGCACUCCAGCCUGGGCGACAGAGUGAGACUCCGUCUCAAAGCAAAAAAAAAAAAGAAACUUUUGUCCAUCAAAAGACACUAUCAACACUAUCAACAGAGGGAAAAGGCAGCCCACAGAGUAGGGGAAGAUAUUUGCACAUCACAUAUCUAAUAAGAGACCGAUAACAGAAUAUAUAAAGAAUGCCUACAACUCCACAACAAGACACCCACACAACCCAAUCAAAAAAUGGGCAUUGGGGCUGACAUUUCUCCAAAGAGAACCUGGAAAUGGCCAACACACACAUGAAAACAUACUCAGCAUCAGUAGCCAUUCCAUUAGGGCAAAGCAGAUCAAAACCAAAAUGAGAUGUCCCUUCACACUCAUUACAAUGGUGAUUAUCAAAAAACCAGGAAGUAACUUCACAUGGCCGGGAGGAGAUCGAGAACGAGGGGGAGGGGCUACACACUUUUAAACAAACAGAUCUAGGGAGAACUCUAUCACAAGAAUAGCAAGGGGGAAGUCCCCACCCAUGAUCAAUCACCUCCCACCAGGCCACACCUCCAACACUAGGGAUUACAAUUCAACAAGAGAUUUUGGUGGGGACACAGAGCCGACAUUUAACACAGUGGCUGCAGCACUGGACAGUUCCCACCAACAGAGCACUGAAGUUCAAGUGAUUCUCCUGCCUCAGCCUCCUGAGUAGCUGGGAUUACAGGCACGUGCCACCACACCCGGCUAAUUUUUGUAUUUUUAGUAGAGAUGGGGGUUUCACCAUGUUGGCCAGACUGGUCUUGAACUUCUGACCUCAGGUGAUCCGCCCGCCUUGGCCUCCCAAAGUGUUGGGAUUACAGGCAUGAGCCACUGCGCCCAGCCUAUUUCCACUUAUUUGGAUCAUUUAGGAAGAACAGGUAAAAUCCAGAAGCAAAACCAGCCCACUUCCUCCCACCUAAUGAUAGACAUGAACGGAACUUUACAGAUGGCUCCCCACAACCUGCAGGUCCCUCCUUACCCUCCUGUGACCAAAGGGAGGGCCAGAAAGUCUCAGGGGCAGAGGCUGCCUAGAAAGUUAUCCUGAGGCAUAGGGAGACCCCAGACAGGGCCAACAAGGUGGACUUUGAAGAUUCAGGGAGCCCAAGGGGCCCGUGGCCUGGAGUUAGCUGGCCUCCAGCCCCACCAUCUGCACUGUGUGGCCUUCGAGAAUGUAAUCUAACCCCUUUAAAGCCCAGCCUCUUCACUGGUUUAAAAAACAAACAAACAAACAAAAAAAGACCGAGCAUGUGCCUACACCCUAGGGUUUUUAUCGGGAUAAAAUUAAAUAAUGAACAUACAGACCCUGACCCUCAGAAAGGCAGUAACCAUCUGCCGUUACUCUCUGUCCUGGCUGAAGGAGGGCACAGAAGAAGGACUUCUAGGGAGAGGGGCCUGGGGGUGCCUGCGAGGCUUCUACAUGAGGGCAUCCCAGGCCUGAUCGGCUAGCACUGUCCUGGUUAGUUCUGGACACAAAGUCAACCAGUGUUAACAUGAAGGAGAUGUCUGUGUGAUAGCUCUAUUUCUGCCUCAUUCCCAAGGGCUAGAAACUGUUUUCCAGCAGCUUUUAAACUAUUCCCCGUGUCUCCAGUAACCGUUGUCCCUAGUAAUUAAGUAGCUGAGUAAAGCUGCUUCUGGUCCUACCGGUGCUAGUGGAGAGGAGGCUGGGGAAGGCAGAGAGGGGGCUGCUUGUCUGGGAGAGACGGGCCCGAGCACGGUGCCAGAAGCACGGAGCACCAAGUGUGCCUGCGGCAUGUCAGCUGGAGCCUGGGGGAGGGUCCUUGGGAAGGGGGAUGUCUCCAGGGGUGAGGGCUUUAGAGGGCUUUACAGGUGUAAGGAAGUCGGAAGAUGAUGGCAAACGGUGGGGUGUGAAUUGUUUCAUUCAGUGCUGCUGUAAGCAUGGAGCGCUGAGUUUUUUCUGCUUAAUUGGGACACGGUAGAAGAAAAGCUGAGGGGCAGCGUCCCCUUCACAGCUGUGGGCACACUCAGACCUUGCCUUUAGCGCAAGGCUCAUGUGAGUGCUGCUGGCCCAGGCGGGUGAGUCUGGCCAGCCUGGAACCAUUCCACCAGCGCUUGCCUCCUGCCUCCCGCCAGGGUCCACGUACUUGACUUGCCGUCCCGUCCUGCUGACUUCCGAGGGCUGCCUUGCGUCACAGGACCCGGGCAUCAUGGGCUGGAUGGGCUGGCUCAGCAACAGCCUUUAAGCAGAGGUGGGGAAAUAGGAAACUGAUCAGCACCUGAACCACAGACCCACUGGUCGUGGCAGCACUUGCUCAGCCUGGCUGGACCCUUUAUGGUUGACUCUAAUCCCCACUCUCCUGGCUUCAUUCUCUGAGGAUGAUGGACGCAGCGGGUAACCUCCCCUGGACCUCAGGAUCCCAAGCCCUGUCCUCUGCUUCCUUAGCUGAGAUCAACUGUGGACACUUUAGAAUCUGUCUGAACUCUGCCUCCGUCUAAAGCAGAAAGUAGAGCUGAAAUGAAUGGGGUAAAAUGAUGCCUGGGUUAUCCUUUAAACAAGGGCAGUCUCGUACCUGAGCUGCCGAUCAUGGCUGAAGUCUGGGCUGGGCUGGCACUGGCUGGCAUCCUGGGAGGUGGAAGCAGGUGUGGUC
rnacentral:lncRNA from 1 species